ACGCCGUGACUGCGCCACUUCGCAGGUUUGAGGAGAAUUCCUCGACACGGCGU
rnacentral:ncRNA from 1 species